rnacentral:sRNA from 1 species
UGUAUGCCCUUGCAAAGAGAGUAUAUUCAGUUUGCUCAACAGCUAAAAACGACUAUAUAAAGUAUUCGCGAAGGUCGAAAAUUAAUGAGAAUUUCUUUAAAGUGAUCUGAAUAUGCGGGUGAAUGGAGGAGGAGAAGGAGAAACAGACAGAUGGAGGGUGAAGUCGUCGACAUCAUUUGGCAUUUGAUUGAUUUAUCGCUUGCAGCCAGCAUCAAGAAGAAAUUCCAAAAAAAUGAAACAGAUAAACGAGACCUGCAAAUGUUAAAUAUGCUAAAUUUAACAACUUUGAUUUCGUUGCAGUAAAU